CACAGCUCCCUGGCCUUGUGUGUGGAYUGAUACACUGCGGCCCAACCUCUCCAAGACUCUCCUGGCUGUGGUGCCGUCCCGAUGAUUUCCUGGACUCCAGGAACACCAGGAACACCAUCUGCAACCCCAAACCAGGGCCUCCCCCUCAAGUUUUUAGCAUGGCAGCAGAAUCGCUGACAUAGUGUGAGAGGGGAUCUGUAUGCACUGUCGCUGCUGGUGAUUCUUACUGUGCACUGAACUCAUUGAAMCCUACUACAGAGUAUCAGCCUGUUCCUGCUCCGUGCCUUCUGUGUUCCAGCAUCCAACUUUCAAGAGGCAUAGCUUUCUGCCCUAGAUUUACCCUCAUCUCC